rnacentral:rRNA from 1 species
CACGUAGGGUGCGAGCGUUGUCCGGAAUUAUUGGGCGUAAAGAGCUCGUAGGCGGUGUGUCGCGUCGGCCGUGAAAACCUGCAGCUCAACUGUGGGCUUGCGGUCGAUACGGGCAUCACUGGAGUUCGGCAGGGGAGACUGGAAUUCCUGGUGUAGCGGUGAAAUGCGCAGAGUAUCAGGAGGAACACCGGUGGCGAAGGCGGGUCUCUGGGCCGAUGACUGACGCUGAGGCACGAAAGCGUGGGGAGCAAACAGG